UGGGGAAUAUUGCACAAUGGGCGCAAGCCUGAUGCAGCCAUGCCGCGUGUGUGAAGAAGGCCUUCGGGUUGUAAAGCACUUUCAGCGAGGAGGAAGGUGGUGAGCUUAAUACGCUCAUCAAUGACGU
rnacentral:rRNA from 1 species